AUCCUUCAAUGUGGGUCAAUAUGUUUUGAUAAAAAAUAUUGAGAGUGCAUCAAUAGGCUAAGGUGUGUGUCAAUAGGCCAAGGUGUGUGUCAAUAGGCCUUGGUGUUUGUCAAUAGGCCUAGGUGUGUCAAUAGACCUAGGUGUGUGUAAAUAGGCAUUGAAGUGUGUCAAAAGACCUAUGUGUGUGUCAAAAGCCCUAGGUGUGUGUCAAUAGCCAUUGGUAUGUGCCAAUAGCCCUUGGUGUGUGUCAAAAGGCAUUGGUGUGUGUCAAUAUGAUUGGUGUGUGUCAAUAGGCCUAGGUGUGUGUCAAUAGGCCUUGGUUUGUGUCAUUAGGCCUUGGUUUGUGCCAAUAGGCCAAAGAGUGUUUCAAUAGGCCUUGGUGUGUGUCAAUAUGCCUAGGUGCGUGUCAAUAGGCUAAGGUGUGUGUCAAUAGACAAGGGUGUGUGUUGAUAGGCCUUGGCUUGGUGUGUGUCAAUGAGCCUAUGUGUGUGUCAGUAGGCCUAAUUGUGUGUCAAUAAGCCUAGGUGUGUGUCAAUAGGCCUUGGUGUGUGUCAAUAAGCCUAGGUGUGUGUCAAUAGGCCUAAGUGUGUGCCAAUAGGCCUUGGUGUGUGUCAAUAGGCCUAGGUGUGUGUCGAAAGGCCUUGGCAUAUGUCAAUAGGCUAAGGUGUGUGUCAAUAGAUUAGGGUGUAUGUCAAUAGGCUUAUGCAUGUGUCCAUAGGCCUUUAAGCCUUUGUGUGUGUCAAUAAGCCUUGGUGUGUGUCAAUAAGCCUAGUUGUAUGUAAAUAGGCCUAGGUAUGUGUCAAUAGGCCUUGGUGUGUGUCGAUAGGCCUAUGUGUGUGUCAAUAAGACUAGGUGUGUGUCGAUAGGCACAUGUGUAUAUCAAUAAGCAUAGAUGUGUGUCAAUAAGCCUUGGUGUGUGUGUCAAUAGGCAAAGGUGUGUGUCAAUAAGCUAAGUUGUGUGUCAAAUGACUAGGGUGUGUGUCAAUAGGCCUAGGUGUGUGUCAAUUGGCCUUGGUGUGUGUCCAUAGGCGUUGCUGUGUGUCAAUUGGCCUAGUUGUGUGUCCAUAAGGCUAAAGUAUGUGUCCAUAGGGCUAAGGUGUGUGUCAAUAUGCCUUGGUGUGGGUCAACAGGCUAAGAUGUGUGUCAAUAAUAUUUGGUGUGUGUGUAAAUAUGCCUUUGUUUUUCCAUAGGCUGAGGUGUGUGUCAAUAGGCCUAGGUGUGUGUCAAUAGGCUAAGAUGUGUGUCAAUGAGCCUUGGUGAGUUAAUAUGCAAAGGUGUGUGCAACUAGGCAUUGGUGUGUUUCAAUAGACAAAGGUGUGUGCCAAUAGGCUAAGGUGUGUGUCAAUAUGCUUAGGUGUGUGUCAAUAGGCCUAGGUGUGUUUCAAUAGGCUAAGGUGUGUGUCAAUAGGCUAAGGUGUGUGUCAGAGGCUAAGGUGUGUGUCCAUAGACCUAGGUGUGUGUGUCAAUAGGCCUUGGUGUGUGUCAAUAGUUGUAGGUAUGUAUCAAUAGGCCUAGAUGUAUGUGUCAAUAGGCCUAGGCCUGGGUCAAUAGGCCUAGGUGUGUGCCAAUAGGCUAAGGUGUGUGUCAAUAGGCUAAGUUGUGUAUCAAUAGGCUAAAAUGUGUGUCAAUAGGCUAAAGUGUGUGUCAAUAGGCUAAGGUGUGUGUCAAUAGGCUUGAGGGUGUCAAUAGGCUAAGGUGUGUUUCAAUAGGCUAAGGUGUGUGUCAAUUGGCUAAGGUGUGUGUCAAUUGGCUAAGGUGUGUGUCAAUUGGCUAAGGUGUGUGUCAAAGCGCUGAGGUGUGUGGGCCUUCAUGUGUGUCAAUAUGCCUUGGUGUGUGUGAAUAGGCUGAGGUGUGUGGGCCUAGCUCUGUGUCAAUAGGCCAAGUGUGUGUCAAUAGGCCUAGAUGUGUUUCAAUAGCCCUAAGUGUGUGUCAAUUCUUAAUAGGCCUAGGUGUGUGUCAAUUCGCCAACGUGUAUGUUAGUAAACGUAUGCAGGUCUCAAAUAGGCCUAGUAGGUGUGUUAAAAGUGGUUAUCAAUAAGUCAUUCUGUCAAUAAUGAUUAAACAUAACAUAAAAUAGAUUUAAGGGCUAGUAAAUACUUGAAAUAAUUAUUACAAGAACACUUAAAAUUUCUAAUCUUAUUGGGUUGUUUAUACACCUACUCCUAAUUCUAGGGCAGAGACAAGAAUCCUAUACACAUUUUUCAAAACAUUGUAUGUGAAAGUCAAGCACUUUAAGUUUGUCAAAGUUUAAUUAAGUAGUAUAUUACGGAAAGCUUUAUUGGCCACUCACCCCACUGAUAUGCAAACCUAACCAAAACGAGAUCACAUGUCAUACAUACACACUGCUUUAAUGUACUUAUAAUUACUAGUAUGUAGUAUCUGGAUGUACAUGUAUCUUAAUUGUGAAACAAAUCCUGGAUGCGCUUGCAGCGUAUG